rnacentral:rRNA from 1 species
CUUCCUUCGGGCGGGGGAUAACAUUCCGAAAGGAGUGCUAAUACCGCAUAAGACCACGUCCUCGAAAGAGGAUGAGGUAAAAGCCGGCCUCUAUACAUAAGCUGGCACCUGGAGAUGAGUCCGCGGCCCAUCAGGUAGUUGGCGGGGUAAUGGCCCACCAAGCCUAAGACGGGUAGCUGGUCUGAGAGGAUGAUCAGCCACACUGGAACUGAGACACGGUCCAG